AAAGCUUCACAUGUGAGAUAAAUGCACUCAAAGACUCCUCACAAGUAGCUCUUUGGAGCUUCAGAUGUGAAAUGGAUCAUUCCUCAAUCUGUAAUAGACCCUUCCGUGAAGCUCUUCAAUCAAACCUGAGAAUUCAAGGCAUUUUGUAGCAUCCUAAACAGAAGGAUAUUGAAGGGAGCUGAUUCUGCUUUGAUCCUUGUGCUUGUUGUCAAAGCGCUUGGGAUUGAAGAGACUGUUGGCUACAAUUGACUGUGACAAUUAGGAGAUGAUCAGAGCCCUAGAGUGGAGCACUUAAAGGGAGAAGUUUGGCUUCAGAGGACAGGACUGGCUUCGUCUUCUCCAGGACUACAAGCUCCGUGCCUAGCUAAGUUCUUUGAAUGUAGUAGGUGCUCAGUAAAUAUUUGUUAAAUGGAUGAAGAAUGAAUGAAAAGAAUGGGAGUGAGGAUGGCUUGAGUAAUGGGUAGAAUCUUAUGUUUUAUCCAGUAAAUGAGGUAGAUUGUGGAAUAAAUUAUGUGGCUAUAUUUUCUAAUUAUGUUCCAUUUCCACCAUUAAUCAAGUUGCUUUCUUCUUUGCAUACCAGCUAAUUGAAGGUGUUUAGGUAGAUGAAAAGCCUUUUGUGUUGUGGGGUGGGAGGGGGGCAAGCCUGAGAUUUAAAAGGAGAAGAAAAUGGUCUUAGUUAAUCCAGAGGGUGGGUGAGAGCUCAACCAGAAUGCUCUUUGGAAUCCAGACAAUUCAGUGACAGUAACACUCUCAUACAAGUGUUAGGGAGGUCAGAGGAGAUGAGUCUGUGACAUGUGCAAUCACUCUUGAUGCAUUUGAUUUUUCAACAGUAUUUCAUGGUGACAUUUAGAUUUGAAUGGGAAAUGACCUCCUUGUUCCCAGUUCCUUUUCUAGCCAGAAUAGGAUUGCUCCUUCAACAAAUAUUGGUAUGUUUUGUCCAGUAGAGUUCUCCGGUAUCUUAACAGAUGGAGUUUACGAGUUUAUUUGCUAGCAGAAAUAGUGACUUCAAGGCAAGAAGGAGGUUGCAGGAACUAUUUAUUUUUACUUUUUUAAAAGGAAUACCUUCCUGGCACAUAAGCGAGUACCUAAGCAAGCAGACUCAACAGCUUUCUUGGAAGGAGUCAGCCGCUGCAGGUUGUGUGGAGAUUCAGUACCGUCGCUGUAGAAAUGCUGGUCCGAGAGGGGAUUGGUGA
ensembl:lncRNA